rnacentral:rRNA from 1 species
GUGUCAGCAGCCGCGGUAAUACGAAGGGGGCUAGCGUUGUUCGGAAUUACUGGGCGUAAAGCGCACGUAGGCGGACUAUUAAGUCAGGGGUGAAAUCCCGGAGCUCAACUCCGGAACUGCCUUUGAUACUGGUAGUCUAGAGACCGAGAGAGGUAAGUGGAACUCCUAGUGUAGAGGUGGAAUUCGUAGAUAUUAGGAAGAACACCAGUGGCGAAGGCGGCUUACUGGCUCGGAACUGACGCUGAGAUGCGAAAGCGUGGGGAGCAAACAGGAUUAGAUACCCCCGUAGUCC